UCAAAUACUUGUCAUGGCCAAUUCCACGAUGAAAGAGGUGGUUUGCACAAAGAGAGGCUUGUCAGUGCAUUCAGGCUGUGCUGAAUUUAGCAAAUUCCCCAAAUGAGGGAAUCUUGACUGCAUAAUUUCUGACAGUGGGGGACUGCGUUCAUGCUCUCCCCUG